CGGAAACGGAUGCUAAAACCGCAUAGGUCUUCGAACCGCAUGGUUUGAAGAGGAAAAGAGGCGCAAGCUUCUGCUGAUGGAUGGACCCGCGGUGCAUUAGCUAGUUGGUGAGGUAACGGCUCACCAAGGCCGUGAUGCAUAGCCGACCUGAGAGGGUGAUCGGCCACAUUGGGACUGAGACACGGCCCAAACUCCUACGGGAGGCAGCAGUAGGGAAUCUUCCGCAAUGGACGCAAGUCUGACGGAGCAACGCCGCGUGAGUGAAGAAGGUUUUCGGAUCGUAAAACUCUGUUGUUAGAGAAGAACAAGUGCUAGAGUAACUGUUAGCGCCUUGACGGUAUCUAACCAGAAAGCCACGGCUAACUACGUG
rnacentral:rRNA from 1 species